AGAGUGAGAGUCUCAGUGUAGGCCCUGCCCAUGGCUGUCUCUUAUGGGUGUGCCCUACAGCCUGGAAAGUUCUUCUCAGAAUCCAUCACCCGACAUUUUACAGGCAGGAAAUGGAGGCCAGAGAAGGAAAGGGCCAAGGUCUCUGUAGAAACCAGGGGGCAGAGCUGAAGCUGGGUCUCAAAGCCAGUGCAGGUGGCAGAGGAAGGACAUGGAGCUCAAGCCAAAGGCACCAGGGCCGCGUCUCCCACCCUGCAGCUCAUGCCUGAGGCCAACAGGGGCUGGAAAGAAGACCUGGAGAGGCUCCUGCUCCUGCUCAGGAGGCUCUGGUUUGUCUCCACGUCAUGGCUCCUGUCCCUCUGGAGGCUGCUCUACCACAGGAAGACAAGCGCUGCUCCUAUCUUCACCGACUUCUCUCCCCAAAGAAACAGACAACCUGGUGGGAAAACAGCAUCACCCCAACUUGGAGCAGCUGGGAGGGACCUGGACCACCAUUCUGCCCCAGGCCCCUCUGCCAUUCUGCAGCCACCCGAGAGGGAGAUCUGACCGCUCCCACACGUACAGUUGCCGACGGUGAGCUCCAGCUCGAAGAGCCAGGAAGUCAAGGAGACCAGACCCUGAGCCCAGCGGCUGCCUGCAAACCUGUGGGCUUCCCCACACCCCAUGAGCACGUUUUGCAGGAUGUGAGAGAAGUGUGCAUCCUGCGAGGAGCUUGAACCCUCACAGGAUUGACUCCUUUGACUGGAAGCCAUGAGGACAGCAAGAACUUGUUGAGGAUCAGAAGCCUUCAAAUCUCCAGUGCUGGAAAAUAGAGUGCCCGCUGUCUUGAUCUUUGAAGCAGUCCUAACAACUACCAGGCACAGCAGACAGUGAUCCAGAGAUGAGGAUGGGGAUGAUGACAGCAAUAUGGUGAAGAAGAAGAUAGCUGUCUUUGUCACUUCUGACUGCUAUAACAAAGUGCUACUGACUGGGUGACUUAUUGUGACAGUUAAGCUGGAUUGUCCACUUGAUUGGCUUGUGAGCCACCUAGGAGGUGCUGGUCCUCUGUUCUUCUUCCUGGAGGCUUUGAACCAAGCAACUUUGGCCUACUGCACGCUUCCAGCAUGAUGUUUCUAUCUUGGAGCCUUGAAC
rnacentral:lncRNA from 1 species